rnacentral:lncRNA from 1 species
UGAGUUUCAGUUUUUCUAAGCUUAAAAGGUGAAAUAGAUAACUGCAUAACUAUAUUUUAUCUUUGUUAAACCGGGGCUUCUAAUUCUAGUAGUAAAGGGUUUACAGCUGUGAGUACCGUCAACUAGAUUCGAAUCUCGGCCACUGGAAAAUUAACAUUUCGGCAUCGCCAGGAACAGAGAACCGACAUGUGGCAACACGUGACUAAUCUAGAUCACUUCUGUGGGGUCAGGAUAUCUCUGUAUAAUUCAAAAGAAAAAUAUUUUAUCUUUGUUAUAUUGAAGAUAUAUUUAAUAUUUAAUUUAUUGUUUCUGUCAUUUUGUUUUAUCUUGCCAGAGUCCUUAAUACACGUUUGAUUCUUUAUUUUUUUAUUUUUUUUGGUCAAAGUUUGAUUCUUUAUUUAUUUAUUUUAUUAUUUUUUAUUAAAUUUUAAUUAUUCAACUUUUGCUAUGGAUUCUCAGUGUAUAAUAUUUUAGUUCAUAUAUGCUUUAGGCUGCCACCACACGUAUGAACUAAAUCUAAGGCAACACACUUAAGAUUCUUUUGGCACUUCUCUAAUGGUAAAGCAGUAUUCUUUUAGUUUUAAAGUAUUCUCUAUUUGAAAACAUGUCAUCGAAUUGUAAAGUUUUCUUUAGUUUCUUGUCAAACUGCAACAGACUGUUAUUGGCUCAAGAAAUCCAAGUUCAAUAGAAACUCUAAAAAUCAAUACUCGAUAAAUUAAUAUUUUUUUCUAUCUCGAAUUAGACCAGUUCAAAAUAUGACACAAAUUGAUAUAAUAUUAUAUUAAUUUGUUAAC